rnacentral:rRNA from 1 species
CAAUAGCGUAUAUUAAAGUUGUUGCGGUUAAAAAGCUCGUAGUUGGAUUUCUGUUGGGAACGACCGGUCCGCCCAUUGGGUGUGUAUCUGGCUUGUUCUCGGCAUCUUCUUGGUGAACGUUGCUGCACUUGACUGUGUGGAGCGCUACCCAGGACUUUUACUUUGAGGAAAUUAGAGUGUUUCAAGCAGGCAUAUGCCUUGAAUACAUCAGCAUGGAAUAAUAAGAUAGGACCUCGGUUCUAUUUUGUUGGUUUCUAGAGCUGAGGUAAUGAUUAAUAGGGAUAGUUGGGGGCAUUCGUAUUUAACUGUCAGAGGUGAAAUUCUUGGAUUUGUUAAAGACGGACCACUGCGAAAGCAUUUGCCAAGGAUGUUUUCAUUGA